AACCUCUGGUGCAUCGGUUGUCAACCAAUGGCAUGGCCGAGUAGCCAAGUUUGGACGGGAUAAACGCUGAAGGCAUCUAAGCGUGAAGCCCCCCUCAAGAUGAGAUAUCCAAGUAUUUAUACGAGAGACCCCUUGAAGACGACGAGGUAGAUAGGACAGAGGUGGAAGUGCAGUAAUGCAUGCAGCUGACUGUUACUAAUAGGUCGAAAGCUUGACCAAAUCAAACCGAA
rnacentral:rRNA from 1 species